rnacentral:hammerhead_ribozyme from 1 species
AUCCAGUUGACGAGUCCCAAAUUGGACGAAACGCGCGUCAAACUGGAU